rnacentral:rRNA from 1 species
AUUGAACGCUGGCGGCAGGCCUAACACAUGCAAGUCGAACGGUAGCACAGAGAGCUUGCUCUCGGGUGACGAGCGGCGGACGGGUGAGUACUGUCUGGUAAACUGCCUGAUGGAGGGGGAUAACUACUGGAAACGGUAGCUAAUACCGCAUAACGUCGCAAGACCCAAGUGGGGGACCUUCGGGCCUCAUGCCAUCAGAUGUGCCCAGAGGGGAUUAGCUGGUAGGUGGGGUAACGGCUCCCCUAGGCGACGAUCCCUAGCUGGGCUGAGAGGAUGACCAGACACACUGGAACUGAGACACGGUCCAGACUCCUACGGGAGGCAGCAGUGGGGAAUAUUGCACAAUGGGCGCAAGCCUGAUGCAGCCAUGCCGCGUGUGAAGAAGGCCUUCGGGUUGUAAAGCACUUUCAGCGGGGAGGAAGGCAUUAAGGUUAAUAACCUUAGUGAUUGACGUUACCCGCAGAAGAAGCACCGGCUAACUCCGUGCCAGCAGCCGCCGUAA